GGUGUGUUGGCUCAGUCAGUAGAGCGUUCGCCUCACAACCGGAAGGUCAUGGGUUCGAAACCCCGGCCGCGUCA
rnacentral:tRNA from 1 species